rnacentral:rRNA from 1 species
GUCCUUAACUGACGCUAAAGCUCGAAAGUGCGGGUAUCGAACAGGAUUAGAUACCCUGGUAGUCCGCACGGUAAACGAUGGAUGCCCGCUGUUGGCGAUAUAGUGUCAGCGGCCAAGCGAAAGCGUUAAGCAUCCCACCUGGGGAGUACGCCGGCAACGGUGAAACUCAAAGGAAUUGACGGGGGCCCGCACAAGCGGAGGAACAUGUGGUUUAAUUCGAUGAUACGCGAGGAACCUUACCCGGGCUUGAACUGCAGGCGAACGAUACAGAGAUGUUGAGGCCCUUCGGGGCGCCUGUGGAGGUGCUGCAUGGUUGUCGUCAGCUCGUGCCGUGAGGUGUCGGCUUAAGUGCCAUAACGAGCGCAACCCCUUUCUCCAGUUGCCAUCAGGUAGAGCUGGGCACUCUGGAGACACUGCCACCGUAAGGUGUGAGGAAGGUGGGGAUGACGUCAAAUCAGCACGGCCCUUACGUCCGGGGCUACACACGUGUUACAAUGGGUGGUACAGAGAGUAGGUCGCUGGCAAUAGCGAUCCAAUCCUAAAAGCCAUCCUCAGUUCGGAUUGGGGUCUGCAACCCGACCCCAUGAAGCUGGAUUCGCUA